UACGUAGGGUGCAAGCGUUGUCCGGAAUUAUUGGGCGUAAAGAGCUCGUAGGCGGUUUGUCGCGUCUGGUGUGAAAAUCCAGGGCUUAACCCUGGACCUGCAUCGGGUACGGGCAGACUAGAGUGCGGUAGGGGAGAUCGGAAUUCCUGGUGUAGCGGUGAAAUGCGCAGAUAUCAGGAGGAACACCUGCGGCGAAGGCGGGUUGCUGGGCUGACACUGACGCUGAUGCGCGAAAGCCAGGGGAGCGAACGGG
rnacentral:rRNA from 1 species